rnacentral:lncRNA from 1 species
UCGGGCAUAAGCCCUCCCUCCUCCCCACCUCAAAUGUUUUUGAACUUUCCCAAUCACCGGCUCGUGUUAGGCCAGCAGCGACCUCCUCCCUGCCGCCGUUGUCUCACCACCGUUCUCUCCCUCUCCAUUUCUUUUUUCGACUGGUAUUGUGCUAGAGUGUGAGCUGCCUUCGUUUUUCCGAUCGGAGCAGCUCCACCUCAGCCCCUUUUUCCUUGACUUUUCCGGCAACGCCAACCAUAACCGGCCAACCUACUUCGUCUCUAGCGUCUCAAAUGACUGCUCUUCCAUCUCCGGUCACCAGUAGCUCACGAUUUAGCAACAAAAGAGAGGAACUGCGAACUGCGGUUCCAUUUUCUCGAUCGGCACAACCUCUUUCAACAUUUUAUUUCGAUUUUUCUGCGAGACCAGCCAAGGACCGGCCGGUUAGACUCUUCCUUUGUCUCUAACAGCUUCGCCGGCCAUGGUCCUCAUCAGUUCUGCACGUUAACACCGACAGAAUCGGAUUUUGAAUAUUGGGGCUGUUUUCAGUCAUUUUAACCGGAAAUAUUCAGUUUUUCCGACAUUUUUCGUAACUGGGUAAGCAAUUUCCAACCUUCUCUUGAUAAUAUAUGUUGAUUAGAGCAACAAUCAAAGUUUGUGAAGAGAUUAUGAUUUCUAGCUACUGUUCACGCUAUCUUACCAGAGAAAUUUGAUUGUUCAUACGAAGUUUUAGGCUAUAACUAAUUUGAUGAGUAAUUUAGCAUGAUUAGGAUGAUUUUAGCCUUAAAAUUGGUAUAAGAUGGAAACAACAGCAGCUAGCUAAGAUUCCAAGGUACUGUUUUUAUUAAAAACUUGAGAAAACCUUGGAUUUAAUUGUUAACCUUAAGCACUGAUUGUAAUUUGAUGAGAAAUUGAGAACUAUAUUUAGUUAUUUCAGAUUUUUAUUGAGAAGUUAGGAGUUUUUGUGCAAUGACAACAACUAUCUUUGUUAUAUUACCUGAACUAUGGGUUUGGAACGAAGUAUAUGAUAUUGUGAAUGUAGUUUUCAUUGGGGAAUGAGUUAAUUGGCAUAUGUUAUAAGGGUUAUGCUUAUAAAAUGUUGAUUCCCUUAGGUUGGCAGCUCUCUUUUUGAUAAUUGGUGCUAUCUAAGAUGAACUUAGGUAGGAAUGAUUAUAUUUUCAUUAUUUUUCAUGUUAGUUAUUAUUAAACAGCUUUAUUCUUACGAGACAACUGCUCAAUCAUAGAAUUCUUUAGUUAAGAAAAAGCUAUGGAUUGUAAUUUUAUGCCGGAGUGGAGUAAAAACUUUAUGAGCUUUAGUAGAAUCAUGCUUAGGUCUGUGAAUUCAGUUGUUUAACAGACUUUAGCUAUUAAAUUUUAAUUUAAAUAUCUAUUCAUAGUACCAUUUUAGAGUUCUGCUAUUGCAUUCUGUGUGGGCUGUACUUAUAAAGUGACUGAUUAUUAUACGUAUAUAUUUUAUUCAUUUAUAAAUAAUCUAUAUAAAUAUUGGAUAGGGCCCAAAUUCCUUGUGAACUGUUACUUGAAGAAUUGGGCCUAAGGUUGUGUAUGUGAACAGAAUAGUGAAUCCAGUAUGUUGAGGCUUACUGCGAGCCUUGGAGGCCUUAAGCCUACCCAAGUGCUUGUGUCGGUCGGGCCCAUAGUGACAGGUCGCGACAAAGUUUGUAUCAGAGCAUAAGUUGGUUCUUGGGAAUCAAUUGCGGAACUUAGGGCACUGUAUGUAGAACUCCUAUGUUGGGAUCGGCCGUAACCAGCAGAGGAGGUGUGUUUUAGAUUGGAAUGCAUUCUAGUGCUAGUGGACGCACCAUGCACUAGAGUGGAUGAAAAUCUAUCAGCAGUAGUAUGAGUCACAAGAAGGAUAGAUUCGAUAUUAGGCAUACGCUUUAAAUAUUAAAUGUUGAAGAAGGUUUAUUUAGGAAUGCAUGACUCACUGGUUUUCAGACUCAGUAAUGAUUGGAGUAGUUGAGAUGGGCUGAUCACCCAUUGCACUUUCCUCCAAUGAUGACUGUGUUUCUGACUAGUGAGCAAGUGCUAACCAUUAAUAAUAAUUUCUAAUUUUGCCAUUAGGUUAUGGAAGUGGAACUAAGCAAUUAUUAGUGGGAAAAUAUUGGGGAAUAAGAGGUUUAUGGAGAAACAAUUUGUUUGGUAGUUUAUAGUAUAGAAUAAAGGAACUUAGUUAGGUAUGAUAGAAACAGUUAGGGGUAAUGAUUGGACUCUUAAAUAAUUGCAUAGUGAUUAAAAUGGACAUGCUAAUAGUGUAAGAAUAUAUCUAGACAAUUACACUUCACCUUUAUAUUUUAACCCUAGAAAGAGUUAUCAUACUUGAAUUGCUAGUAUUGUAGAGUAUCAGAAGACUGUGUCAGAAGCAUUGCUUUGCGACCUCAUCAUGUAGACUUAAGAGAGUAGUAGAGCUCGAUGCUGUGUAAGUAGAAUUUGAAACUUCAAGGCUGUGUAUACCUCAGGAUUGUCCAACCUGAAAUUUCAUAUAGAAAUGAAUAAAUUAUUUAGCUUAAUACAGAUUUUGGUAAAGGAAUUAAGGAAUUUUGAAAUGGCAGUAGCUAAUCUAAUUAUUUGCUAAUAUUAUUACUUUGGUAUGGGACAUAUGAUGUGAUAAAUCAAGUUCUUGGUGAGAAAGGAGUUAAUGGGCAAGAAAUGUAUGGGUUCUAAUCAAAAAAUUCUGAUUUCUUUAGCUUGGCAGCAUCUAGCUAGUAAAAUUUUAUGAGUUAUCUCAAUUGGACCUAUAUGCUGAUCCUACAAAAAUAUUAUGUGCAAGUAACGAGAAUUGUUGAUAAUAACUAAGGAUGAGAUUUAUAAAGAAUCAUGAGUUAUAGCUUGAGAUGGCAACAAAUGUGAUUUAAAUGUAAUUUCUUGAUGUGAAGUAAUAAAAUUAGUAAUUUCUAAUAUUAACUGCAUUUUUUUUUAAAUCACUUAUUUUAUUAGAUAGAGAAUGAAUGUUAUACUUAUGUCCUUAAUAGGACAGAAAGGAAUUGGGGCUAUUUUAUUUGUUCGUAAGUUAGCUAGUUUGUGAUUUACUAUUUAUAUGGAAAUUUUGAGAAAUUCUUUGUUUAAUCUUGCUAUAUGAGAAGUGCUAAAGCUGUAACUUGUAAUUUAGAAAGCAAAAUAUGAUUUUCUUAGGAUAAUUUGAUGGAUUUGAAGUUUGAAUUAUAGAUGUGUAGAAGUUAGGGUUCAUGGAGCCCUAUUCAUGCAAUUAGAUGGGAAUGAAUUUGGAUUUAAUUGCCAACCAAUUUUGUAAACUGAAUUCAUGAUAUUAAGAGUUAUAUGAUUACUAUAAAUUGUGUUUUGUUGUAAUGGCAGAAGUUAUAUGGGAAUCUCCAUGGCUUUUAUAUCAAACAAGUUAAGAAUUCAAAUUAUACACCAAUUUCUUGCAAGAUAAUAAGGAAAUUGAUGCUUUUAUUGCUAGCUUAGGUUGAGAUUUGAGGUCUGUUGGUGCAUGGUAGCAGCCAGGUUGAAGAAUUUCAUAAAUUUUUGCUUGAGUUUGAAUUAAUAAUAGUGCUAUAAACUCAUUCACUUCAUUUGUAUUAGAAAAGGGUAGAGUUGAAAUGGUAAAAAGUAAGAGGUGAAAAUGUGGAUGUUGUCUUACUUGGGCUUGGGCCAACCAAUGCUAAAGUGUUAGUACUAACCAAUUAGCUAGUCCGCUUGCCACCCUUAUAUGCCCAUUAUGGAUUUGUUAUUUAGUCGAUGUGGGAUUUUUAACAUUCCCUCUCAAGAGUAACUGGGACUUCCGGUUGACACUUGAAAAAUGAAACUCCCCGGUUGACACUUGAAAAAUGAAACUCCCCCUGAAACUGAAAUGGGCUUUUCGCCCUUGAAAUCGAAUGUGCCUCGAUGGGACUGCACAUCCAGACGAGAGCUCGAAUUGAAACGCAGUGGAGAAUAAUUGAAACCGGGUCGGACCUACUCUGAUAACAUAUUAGAAAUGGAAAAGGUAGAGGUGAAAUGGGUAAUAGGUAAGAGCCCAUUAUGUGAAAAUGUAGAUGUGGGCUUACUUGGGCUUGGGUCAACCAAAGUUAAAAAUUUAGUACUAACCAAUUAGCUAGCUAGCUUGCUACCCUUAUAUGCCCAUUAUGGAUUUAUUAUUUAGUCGAUGUGGUAUUCUUAACAAUUUGGUAGCAAUCUUAGUAGUAUUUAAUGAUGGAUUUUAGAAAAUGAGAGAAUCAUGAGAAGGGUAGCAGCAAACUUGAUUAAUUGUUCAAAAUUUUGCAAUGAUAAGAAGAAAAGAUGUUGUAUAUUGAAAUUUUGAUAAGCCAUAAAUGAGCAAUGAACGGAUCAAUGUAUUCCUACAAGUUUUGGUAAGGAGAUUAUUGUUUUCUUAUUAUGACAAGAGUUAUACUGUUAAUUUUCAUGAGUUUGGCAGUACUUAGAUUUGAAAGGAAGGUUGUAUAUUUAUCAUAAAUAGGAAAUGAAUUAAUUUGCAUAUGGAAAACGAGUUUUAAUUAGAUAAUAGUAGUUCCUUUUGAUUGACGGUUGAAACUAUUGAAUACAAGUUAAGGUCGAAUCAAUUUCCCAGUCCCAUAUUAGUUAAAGGAGAAUUUCUGCAGUUAAGGCCUAUGAUGGAUAAAUAACAAGUUAAGAAGUUAAUAAGCGGGAUUUGGAAGCAGGAGAUGUCGAGUCCUAGCUAUGUUUAACUCUCCUUUGCGGAUUGCAUGAUCUUCCUUUUCCCAAUUCUCUAUAACCUAACUGAACUUCGAGGACGAAUUUUCGUAAGAGGGGGAGGGGGAGACCGAGACAACCCUGAAUUUCAAUUUUCAAAGUUUUUCAUUUAAAAUUUUAAUUAUUAAUUUUAAGCCUAUGAUAUUAUAGAACAUUGUUUUAUUUAAAUUAAACAUAUUAAAACCUUGUGAAUUUAUUUAAUAAAAUUCAAUACAAAUACAUUUUGUAUAGCUAAACUAAAUCUAAAAAUUAAAUUAAACCCAUUAGAAAUCCCUAAACCAAUUGAAAAAACCAAGUAAAAACCUAUGAUUUGGCCAAACCAAACCCUAAUCAACUCGAACCAACCCCAACCAACUAGAAAACUAUAUGUUGGAAAUUCUCAUUUUGUCCUAAAACUAUCUUCUCCCUUCUUCCUAAUCGGGCAUAGCCUGCCCUCUCCCCUCAUAUUUUUUGAACUUUGGCUUGUGUCCGGCCAGCAACAACCUCCUCCCUGCCACUGUUGCCUCACCGUUGUUCCUCCCCCUCCAUUUCUUUUUUCGACUGGCACAUUGAUGGAGUGUGAGCUGCCUUUGUUUUUCCGAUCAGAGCAGCUCCACCUCAGCCCCUUUUUCCUUGACUUUUCUGGCGACGCUAGCCAAAACCGACCAACCUACUUUGUCUCUAGCAUCUCACACCACUGUUCUUCCAUCUCCGGUUACUAGAGCUCGCGAUUUAGCGAGAAAAAAGAGGAACAGCAAAGCUGUGGUUCCAUUUUCUCAACUGGCACAACCUCCGCCAAUAUUUUAUUUUGAUUUUUCGAUGAGACCAGCCAAGGACGGGCCGUUUAGACUCUUCCAUCGUCUCUAACAGCUUUGCCGGCCAUGGUCCUCAUCAGUUCUGCAUGUUAACGCCGACAGAAUCGGAUUUUGAAUAUUGGAGUUGUUUUCGAUCAUUUUAACCGGAAAUAUUUAGUUUUUCCAACCUUUUUUGUCACUGGGUAAGCAAUUUCCAACCUUCUCUUGGUAAUAUAUGUUGAUUAGAGCAAAAAUCAAAGUUUGUGAAGAGAUUAUGAUUUCUAGCUACUGUUCACGCUAUUUUACUAGAGAAAUUUGAUUUUUCAUACUAAGUCUAGGUUAUAACUAAUUUAAUGAGUAAUUUAGCAUGAUUAGGAUGAUUUUAGCCUUAAAAUUGGUAUAAGAUGGAAACAACAGCAGCUAGCUAGAUUCCAAGGUACUGUUUUUAUGAAAAACUUGAGAAAACCUUGGAUCUAAUUAAGCUUAAGCACUAAUCAUAAUUUGAUGAGAAAUUGAGAAUUAUAUUUAGUUAUUUCAGAUUUUUAUUGAGAAGUUAGGAGUUUUUGUGCAAUGGCAGCAACUAUCUUUGUUAUCUUACCUGAACUAUGGGUUUGGAACGAAGUACAUGAUAUUGUGAAUGUAGUUUUCAUUGGGGAAUGAGUUAAUUGGCAUAUAUUAUAAGAGUUUUGCUCAUAAAAUGUUGAUUCCCUUAGGUUGGUAGCUCUCUUUUUGGAUAAUUGGUGUUGUCCAAGAUGAACUUAGGUAGGAAUGAUUAUAUUUUUAUUAUUUUCAUGUUAGUUAUUAUUAAACAGCUUUAUUCUUACUAGACAACUGCUUUAAUCAUAGAAUUCUUUAGUUAAGAAAAAGCUAGGAAUUGUUAAUUUAUGCCGGAAUGGAGUAAAAACUUUAUGAGCUUUAGUAGAAUCAUGCUUAGGUCUGUGAAUUCAGUUGUUUAACAGACUUUAGCUAUUAAAUUUUAAUUCAAAUAUCUAUUCAUAGUACGAGUUUAGAGUUCCGCAAUAGCAUUCUGUGUGGGCUGUAAUUAUAAAGUGAUUGAUUAUAUAUAUAUAUAUAUAUAUAUAUAUAUAUAUAGAUGAAUAAUCUAUAUAAAUAUUGGAUAGAGCCCAGAAUACUUGUGAAUUGUUACUUGAAGUAUUGGGCCUAAGGUUGUGUAUGUAAACAGAAUACUGAAUCCAGAUUGUUAGAGGAUUACUAAGGGCCAUGGAGGUUUUAAACCCAUCUAGGUCCUAGUGUUGGUACAAUCCAUAGUGACGUGUUGUGACAUGAACUAUCGUUUCUCCUAGUGACCCCUUGAACUUUGCGAGGAUUCUAUCUUGAUCUUGUAGUAACAAAUCCUUCAACCUCUCGCCACGUAAGAAAUGAAGAACGUGCAUUCAAAUGCGUUUGGGAGAGUGAAACUGAUUUUCUUUGUUAAGUGAAUGUCCCACGUGGCAUGAUUCUUAAUUAGUUUGUUUCUCCAGAAUUGAUCUCAUGAACAAUGUCUCUUUCUCUCUCUCCAAAAUCUAUCUCAUAAAGAGUGUCAUUCUUCUUCUUUUUUAAUUGUUGAGGGUGUGCUUCAUUUCUGCAUCUAUACUUGUACUAUUUAUUUAAAUUUGUUUUUAAUCGCUUAUGAUAAUCAAAUGAGUGAUGGUUUCUUUUAUGUUGUUAUUAAAUCUAGGUGUAAUUAUAUGCAAAUGCAAUCUCUUUAAGUCUUAAAAUAUAGGUUUGAUGUUAAAUUUUUUCUACAUCUACAAUUUAAUUUUCUGAGAUUUUUUAGAUUAAUUACUACAAGAUUUUUUUUCAAAAUUUCUAAAAUAAUCAAAUCUUUAUUUCUCAUAACCUUUUUCUUUAUUUGGAUGGUGAACACAAUAAUCUCCAAAACAAAGCAUUUUGGGUGGCUUAGAAGGAAAAGAAGAAGAGGAAGAGAGACGAGGGUAAUGGUUAUAUCAACACCAACAACAUCAUUAUCCUCAUCAAAAAAUUGUAGCUAAUAAAAAAUACAGUACUGGAAUCUAAAUGGUCACCAUUAUUAUCAAGCAUCAUAAAAUUCACAGUUUUGAAGAGAGAAAUUUUUGUAUGCCUUAAUAUCAAUUUCUUUAUCUGAGUUAGCGGCGAUGAUGGCGGCGGCGAAGGGGGUUAUAAAUAGAAAAAGGUAGGUGUAGAGUACAGAGCAAACGAGGGACAGUUGUUAGGGUUUGGGUUUAGUGGGAUUAUUUUCAAGAUUAGACUUCGAUUUGUGGUGUGUUUUUAAUUAGUUAAAGCCACUGGGCCACGUAGUUUCAACCAAAUAUUUUGUACAAUUGGCAUUUUUUCUUACGUGGAUUGUGGAUUAUAAUUUACGCACUGUGCAUUUCACUUCUUUUUCACUUUGUGGCAAUCGGUACGGUUAUUGAAGGAUUGUUUAGUACAGAGUCACUGCAAAAUUCAGGGGGCCACUAGGAGAAACGGAUAUAGGC